rnacentral:rRNA from 1 species
CCUACGGGGGGCUGCAGUGGGGAAUAUUGGACAAUGGGGGCAACCCUGAUCCAGCCAUGCCGCGUGUGUGAAGAAGGCCCUCGGGUUGUAAAGCACUUUCAGUGAGGAAGAACGCCUGGUGGUUAAUACCCAUCAGGAAAGACAUCACUCACAGAAGAAGCACCGGCUAACUCCGUGCCAGCAGCCGCGGUAAUACGGAGGGUGCGAGCGUUAAUCGGAAUUACUGGGCGUAAAGCGCGCGUAGGUGGCUUGAUAAGCCGGUUGUGAAAGCCCCGGGCUCAACCUGGGAACGGCAUCCGGAACUGUCAAGCUAGAGUGCAGGAGAGGAAGGUAGAAUUCCCGGUGUAGCGGUGAAAUGCGUAGAGAUCGGGAGGAAUACCAGUGGCGAAGGCGGCCUUCUGGACUGACACUGACACUGAGGUGCGAAAGCGUGGGUAGCAAACAGGAUUAGAUACCCUAGUAGUC